AGAGAUGAACAGUGUAAAACUUCGGUCAGUGAAGAGGUCAGAGCAAGAUGUGAAGCCCAAGCCAGUGGAUGCUACUGACCCUGCUGCCCUCAUAGCAGAGGCUCUGAAAAAGAAAUUUGCUUAUCGGUAUCGAAGUGAUAGCCAAGAUGAAGUUGAAAAAGGAAUUCCAAAGUCUGAAUCAGAGGCCACCUCAGAGAGAGUGUUGUCCCUUCCAGCUGGCUUUAUUCAGCCCCACAUGUCCAAGCAUUGUCUGGGAUAGCCUUGUAUUGGAAAACCUGGCCCAUUCUGUAAAUAAAGGCUCCACUAGGUAAGUCAUAAAACCUUGAGAAAAUAGGAGAAAAAGUUAUUAACAUAUAUGCUGAAACUCUAUCUUUAAAACAUCAUCUAUACAACGUUAACCUUCCUACGUCCUACUCCAGUAUUACCCAGAUCUUAUUCUUCAAAAGAUUCCUGUGUGUGUGUAGGUGACAGAGUCUGUAAUGUACAUAUCCACUUUGAAGAACUGAUUUCUUAAGUAACUCAAUGGAAAUUUAAGUAAAAGUGAACUGAAAAAUAUAUCUAAUCUUUUCUGGUU
rnacentral:sRNA from 1 species